UACAGAGGUUUCAAGCGUUGUUCGGAUUCAUUGGGCGUAAAGGGUGCGUAGGUGGCGCCGUAAGUCAGGUGUGAAAUCUCGGGGCUCAACCCCGAAACUGCACUUGAUACUGCAGUGCUCGAGUACUGGAGAGGAGAUUGGAAUUUACGGUGUAGCAGUGAAAUGCGUAGAUAUCGUAAGGAAGACCAGUGGCGAAGGCGAAUCUCUGGACAGUUACUGACACUGAGGCACGAAGGCCAGGGGAGCAAACGGG
rnacentral:rRNA from 1 species